rnacentral:lncRNA from 11 species
GCAAGAUGUUGGAAGAGAAAACUGUGGUCCCUGAAGUGUGCUUCCUUGGACUCGAUCCAAUACUUUUUCUCCCCAAUAUCAAAAAUUUCCAAAAUGAGGAAUCGAUCUCCAAGAGUUUGGUUCCCAGAAUACUUCUCCCAUUCAACCAUUUCUGCAACAGAGGAGAAGUAUGAAUGAGGAAAGUUUUAUAUUUGUGACUAAGACUAAUCUCUC